UACGUAGGGGGCGAGCGUUGUCCGGAAUCAUUGGGCGUAAAGAGCGUGUAGGUGGACUGGAAGGUCUGGUGUGAAAGCCCGGGGCUCAACCCCGGAGGGUCACUGGAAACCAACAGUCUUGAGUCCGGAAGAGGAGAGUGGAAUUCCUGGUGUAGCGGUGAAAUGCGUAGAUAUCAAGAGGAACACCAGUGGCGAAGGCGAGUCCCUGGACAACACCUGACACUGAGGCACGAAAGCUAGGGGAGCAAACAGG
rnacentral:rRNA from 1 species